AUUGAACGCUGGCGGCAGGCUUAACACAUGCAAGUCGAGCGAGCGGCGGACGGGUGAGUAAUGUCUGGGAAACUGCCUGAUGGAGGGGGAUAACUACUGGAAACGGUAGCUAAUACCGCAUACCAUCAGAUGUGCCCAGAUGUGAUUAGCUAGUAGGUGGGGUAAUGGCUCACCGAGGCGACGAUCCCUAGCUUGUCUGAGAGGAUGACCAGCGGCGCUGUGACUAAGACAGGGUCAAGACUCCUACGGGAGGCAGCAGUGGGGAAUAUUGCACAAGGGGCGCAAGCCUGAUGCGACCAGGCCGCGUGUGUGAAGAAGGCUGUCGGGUUGUAAAGCACUGUCAGCGAGGAGGCGUUACUCGCAGAAGAAGCACCGGCUAACUCCGUGCCAGCAGCCGUGGUAAUAC
rnacentral:rRNA from 1 species